AUCUUAAUUAUAAUUUUGAAAAGUAGAAAAAUAUCUGAUUUAUCAACAGUGGUCUUAAUUUUCUGCUCCUCAUUUCAGGAUUGAGGAAGAAGUAUGCAGUAUUCUCUCCCUCUCCCCCCCUUUUAUUGAGCCUAUAGUGUACCUGUAGAAAUGGAAUUCUUUGGCUGCUGACACAACAGCUGCUGGAGUACAGGCUGCUGCUCUGGGCCCUGUCUCCUCCUGUUGAAGGUCUGCUCUGCGGGGCCCAGCAGGCCCUGGGGAUGCUGAAAUGGAGAGAGCAUCCAGGAGCUGCCGGCAGGGAUCCCACUGCCUCCUGUGGGAGGCGGCACCGACGAAAUCGCAGCAGUGGCAGUUGUUUCCUCAUAAUAACCUCACUGGGCCAGGCUUCAGAGACACUCCCUGCUCACUCACGAG